UGCAAGUCGAACGGCAGCGCGGGGCAACCUGGCGGCGAGUGGCGAACGGGUGAGUAAUACAUCGGAACGUACCCAGAAGUGGGGGAUAACGUAGCGAAAGUUACGCUAAUACCGCAUACGUUCUACGGAAGAAAGUGGGGGACCUUCGGGCCUCAUGCUUUUGGAGCGGCCGAUGUCUGAUUAGCUAGUUGGUGAGGUAAAGGCUCACCAAGGCGACGAUCAGUAGCUGGUCUGAGAGGACGACCAGCCACACUGGGACUGAGACACGGCCCAGACUCCUACGGGAGGCAGCAGUGGGGAAUUUUGGACAAUGGGCGCAAGCCUGAUCCAGCAAUGCCGCGUGAGUGAAGAAGGCCUUCGGGUUGUAAAGCUCUUUUGUCAGGGAAGAAACGGCUGGGGCUAAUAUCCUCGGCUAAUGACGGUACCUGAAGAAUAAGCACCGGCUAACUACGUGCCAGCAGCCGCGGUAAUACGUAGGGUGCAAGCGUUAAUCGGAAUUACUGGGCGUAAAGCGUGCGCAGGCGGUUUUGUAAGUCUGACGUGAAAUCCCCGGGCUCAACCAGGGAAUUGCGUUGGAGACUGCAAGGCUGGAGUCU
rnacentral:rRNA from 1 species